rnacentral:tRNA from 4 species
GGGCACGUAGUUCAUUGGUGGAAUACUACGUUGACAUCGUAGGGGUAACAAGUUCGAUUCUUGUCGUGCCCACCA